GCAUGUUCAAACUUACAGCAACUUCUGAGUUCAGCAGUGUUUCCUGAGAAUCAAUCUUUCAUUUGAACUGACUGAAUAACAGCAGAUCAGAGUUUAGAUGACUGUCAUUCUUCUCAUUCUCACGUCUCUUCCUGGUAGAAGUGAAAUAAAUUUCAGAGCUGCUGUUCAACACGACAGUUCAGAGGAAGACAAAGACAGAAGUACAAACAUUGAGGUGAGUGUUUGAUCGUGCUCUAGUUGUUUUCAUGUAUGAAUGUUGUCUUAUGAUGUGUCAUUGGUCACUUUGUGCUUCUUUAUUGCUGUGCUGAAGUUGUUUUGAUGGUUUUAUUUAAAGCUCUUCUUGUUGUGAUCAAACAGAUGAACAAGUGUGUCUUUGUCAGUGAUUCACAGAAAGCUGCAGAUUCUGAUACUGUUGUCACAACGGAGUUCUCUCAACUUGACUUCUGAAGUCGCUGAAGGAAUUGGUCAAAGAAGAUCUGAAGAAGUUUCAGUGGCACUAUAUCAACAUCUGAAAUGGAGAUUGCAGGUCGAUUAAAAAAAGUGGAUAAGCUGGUGAUGGGUGAAGCUGUGAAGAUCACGGUCGGCAUCCUGAGGAAGAUGGACCAGAACAAUCUGGCUGAGCAGCUGGAUAACAAACACAUGCAUGCUCAGGCUGAAGGCAACAUGAAGACAUCUUAUUCUGCUGAAGCUCAUUCAAAAGAGAUACAGGCUGAUAAGUCUCCAGUCCAGAUAAGAAGCAGUGCUCAGCCUGGAGCCAAUGUUCUUGAAAUGAAAGCGGAAACAAGUGCAAGUGUAAAUGCUCCUGUACUCGCUGGAAGCACCUUCAAUGGAACAGUAAACUUCAACUUCAACUCACAUGCUGCAGGAAACGAUGAACACAAAUGCUCAGAGACAGCAGAGAAUAACAGAGAAAAACAAGGACUGCAAGUGGAAGAAAGCAGAAAAGCCAAAAAGCAAGCGAAAGUUGAGCAGCAUUGCCGAGCAACGAAGAAAUCUGGAAUACCAGCAGGACAUGCAUUUCAAGCUGAAAGCGGUGACAAAGUUGGUGCUCAAGCAGGAGACUUUGAAUGAAAAAAUCAUGAAGUUGGUAAGAGAGAUGGCUGAGUAUAAUAAGAUCCAUCUCGAGCUGCAAGCACUGACAAAGGGUUUAGAGUCUUUGAAGCUCAAAGCUCCAAUGUUUAAGAUGUAAGAGUUUCUUUUGGGGGGAAUCAUGAUCAUGUUUCAAAUAUUUAUUUUAUUUUUAUUUCUUUUUUAUUUCUCUUUUAUUUUUCUAACCUUUGAAGGUAUUAAUCUUUGUGGUUUAAGAGUUGAUGUAUGCUUUGUUUGUUUAAAGAGUGUAAAAGGACGCGGUUGCAUUUUCCAACGUGCUUGGGAGAUGAAACUGCAACCGAGUAGUGUUGAUUUUGCAAUGCAUGAAGGUGUGACUUCUGUGGUUGAACCGAGCACACUUGUACCUAUGCAGAAAAAGGUGUUAAGGAUAUUUUUGUACUAACGUGUGUAUGUUGCUGACCACCCCUGCCAUUCUUCCCUUUGAACUUUUGACACUCUGUAUUAGAUGUGAUAAAGGUCAGGUACUAUGCUUGUGUAUGAAUACACGUGAUUACCAAAUAAGGGAGAAUGUAGGGGAGGUAUUCAAAGGGUAUGCAAAGCUAUAAAAGGGAGAGAAAAUCUGAGUGCGGGGCCGCACUUCGAUGGCGAAGACUUACUUGCUUUUAUUUUUUCAUUUUUGAUUACUUAUGAGUUAUUGUCCAUUAAUAAAACGAAACCAUGACAAAUGGUGAUGCGAAAA
ensembl:lncRNA